GAUGAACGCUAGCGGCAGGCUUAACACAUGCAAGUCGAGGGGUAGGGUUAGCUUGCUAACUUGAGACCGGCGCACGGGUGCGUAACGCGUAUGCAAUCUACCUUGUACAGGGGGAUAGCCCAGAGAAAUUUGGAUUAAUACCCCAUGGUGUUAUGAUGUGGCAUCACAUUAUAACUAAAGUUCCAACGGUACAAGAUGAGCAUGCGUCCCAUUAGCCAGUUGGUGUGGUAACGGCAUACCAAGGCAAUGAUGGGUAGGGGUCCUGAGAGGGAGAUCCCCCACACUGGUACUGAGACACGGACCAGACUCCUACGGGAGGCAGCAGUGAGGAAUAUUGGUCAAUGGGCGCAAGCCUGAACCAGCCAUGCCGCGUGCAGGAUGACGGUCCUAUGGAUUGUAAACUGCUUUUAUACGGGAAGAAACACUCCUACGUGUAGGAACUUGACGGUACCGUAAGAAUAAGGAUCGGCUAACUCCGUGCCAGCCGCCGCCGUAA
rnacentral:rRNA from 1 species